GACGAACGCUGGCGGCAUGCCUAAUACAUGCAAGUCGAACGGAAUCCAUUCGGUGGCAACACCGUUGAAGAUUUAGUGGCGAACGGGUGCGUAACACGUGAGCAACCUGCCCCGGAGACCGGAAUAACAGUGGGAAACUACUGCUAAUACCGGAUGUCCCCAUGAUCUCGCAUGUGAUUAUGAGGAAAAGGAUCCCGCUCCGGGAGGGGCUCGCGGCCUAUCAGCUUGUUGGUGGGGUAAUGGCCUACCAAGGCGACGACGGGUAGCUGGUCUGAGA
rnacentral:rRNA from 1 species